GACGAACGCUGGCGGCGUGCUUAACACAUGCAAGUCGAACGGAAAGGCCCUGCUUUUGUGGGGUGCUCGAGUGGCGAACGGGUGAGUAACACGUGAGUAACCUGCCCUUGACUUUGGGAUAACUUCAGGAAACUGGGGCUAAUACCGGAUAGGAGCUCCUGCUGCAUGGUGGGGGUUGGAAAGUUUCGGCGGUUGGGGAUGGACUCGCGGCUUAUCAGCUUGUUGGUGGGGUAGUGGCUUACCAAGGCUUUGACGGGUAGCCAGCCUGAGAGGGUGACCGGCCACAUUGGGACUGUGAUGCGGCCCAGACUCCUACGGGAGGCAGCAGUGGGGAAUAUUGCACAAUGGGCGGAAGCCUGAUGCAGCAACGCCGCGUGCGGGAUGACUGCCUUCGGGUUGUAAACCGCUUUCGCCUGUGACGAAGCGUGAGUGACGGUAAUGGGUAAAGAAGCACCGGCUAACUACGUG
rnacentral:rRNA from 1 species